GAUGAACGCUGGCGGCGUGCCUAAUACAUGCAAGUCGAGCGAACAGACGCGGAUCUUGCGCCUCUGACGUUAGCGGCGCACGGGAGAGUCACACGUGGAUCACCUACCUAUCAGACUGGUAUAACUUCGAGAAAGCGGAGCUAAUCGCGUAUAAUCUCUUGAAGCGCAUGGGUGGUUAGUGAGAGUCGGUUUUGCUGUCGGUUGUGGAUGGAUCCCCGCCGCAUCAGCUAGUUGGUGGGGUAGUGGCUUACCAAGGCGACGACGCGUAGCCGGCCUGAGAGGGUGACCGGCCACCUUGGGACUGAGAUAGGGCCCAGAAUGCAACGGGAGGCAGCAGUGGGGAAUAUUGCACAAUGGGCGGAAGCCUGAUGCAGCAACGCCGCGUGCGGGAUGACGGCCUUCGGGUUGUAAACCGCUUUCGCCUGUGACGAAGCGUGAGUGACGGUAAUGGGUAAAGAAGCACCGGCUAACUACGUG
rnacentral:rRNA from 1 species